rnacentral:rRNA from 1 species
UACGUAGGGUGCAGGCGUUAAUCGGAAUUACUGGGCGUAAAGAGCGCGCAGGCGGUCGGAUAAGUCGAAUGUGAAAGCCCCCGGCUCAACUGGGGAGGGUCAUUCGAUACUGUUCGACUCGAAGGCAGGAGAGGGAAGUGGAAUUCCCGGUGUAGUGGUGAAAUGCGUAGAUAUCGGGAGGAACACCAGUGGCGAAGGCGACUUCCUGGCCUGUUCUUGACGCUGAGGCGCGAAAGCUAGGGGAGCGAACGAGGA